rnacentral:rRNA from 1 species
ACUGCUCAGUAACACGUGGACAACCUGCCCUUAGGUUGGGUAUAAACCCGGGAAACUGGGUAUAAUACCCGAUAGGUCUCGAUUGCUGGAAUGCAUCGAGAUUUAAAGCUCCGGCGCCUAAGGAUGGGUCUGCGGCCUAUCAGGUGGUAGUGGGUGUAGCGUACCUACUAGCCUACGACGGGUACGGGUUGUGAGAGCAAGAGCCCGGAGAUGGAUUCUGAGGCACGAAUCCAGGCCCUACGGGGUGCAGCAGGCGCGAAAACUUUACAAUGCUGGCAACAGCGAUAAGGGAACCUCGAGUGCCAGGUUACAAAUCUGGCUGUCGAGAUGCCUAAAAAGCAUUUCAUAGCAAGGGCCGGGCAAGACCGGUGCCAGCCGCCGCGGUAACACCGGCGGCUCGAGUGGUAACCGUUAUUAUUGGGUCUAAAGGGUCUGUAGCCGGCCGGAUAAGUCUCUUGAGAAAUCUGGCAGCUUAACUGUCAGGCUUUCAGGAGAUACUGUCUGGCUCGAGGCCGGGAGAGGUGAGAGGUACUUCAGGGGUAGGGGUGAAAUCUUGUAAUCCUUGAAGGACCACCAGUGGCGAAGGCGUCUCACCAGAACGGACCUGACGGCAAGGGACGAAAGCUAGGGGCACGAACCGGAUUAGAUACCCGGGUAGUCCUAGCCGUAAACGAUACUCGCUAGGUGUCGGCCACGGUGCGACCGUUGUCGGUGUCGUAGGGAAGCCGUGAAGCGAGCCACCUGGGAAGUACGGCCGCAAGGCUGAAACUUAAAGGAAUUGGCGGGGGAGCAC